UCUUUAAACUCCGUGAACGGACGCAACGGAACGGUGAACAGAAAACGGAAGCCAUGGCGGCGGCUUAAGAGAGAGAGAGAGAGAGAGAGAGAGAGAGGGAGAGGAGGAGGAAGAGGAAGUGGCGGCGCAUGUGUACAUGUGACCAACAGCGGUCGGAGAAGGCCUACGGCGUCAUCGUUCGCAUCAACCGCUUCUUCAAGGACGGCAUCUGCCACAGCGCCGUCCAGUGAAGUCAAUUCAACCUCCACUGCUAGCUUGCUAGUGCUUCACAGUUCAGAGGCACUCCAAGAUUUAGUUCAUGGCACAAAAAUUCAGAGAACAAACAGAAUGCAGCCCCAAGCACAAGGUCUGAUCACGGGUUUCAUGUAAAACUCUUUAUCAUUGAUCAUUUACAUCACCAACAUAACAAAAAGCAAAUGCCAAAAGAAAGAUGUCUACCUAGAAGAGUUACACACAGAACCCAUCAUUUGUGAUGUGGAAGUCGAGGUAAGGCCCUGAGAAGCAUAGAGGUGAUGGAGUGCAGUGCAGUGGCUGCUAUUCGACUCUUUAUUUGUCCUCGCCGUGGUAUAAGUCGCCUUCCUCCUGACCUCCUAUUCACUGAAGCAGUGGCAAGAACAGCAGUAAAUAUCUUGCUCAUGGUGAGAAAUGCUGGCAAGCAGUGCUGCAGGCUUUCAGACUUUGGUGGUUUUUGGGACUCUCUGUAUGCUGUCAUCUUCAGUUUCAAGCUAUAUAUAGGGAUCAUACAGUACAACCAGGAUCUUUUAAAAUAUCUGCAAGGCUGGAUACUGGUGGUGAGACAUGCCAGCAAAUUUUCUCCUAUUUCUAAUUCAAUUUGGCUCUGAUUCCAUACAGAAGGAUAACUCUGAUUUGUUGUGGCUUCUUCCAUUAGUUCAAAUAUGACAGAUGACAUUCAUGUGUUCAUAAUUCAGAAAGGUUGGGUCUGCUUGUAUUCUGUUGGCAACUCCUGGUUUUAUUCAUGGAUCAGUCGAAGCUGGACUUCGAAAGUGAUUAGGUUUGCCUCUGUCUGCAACUACUGCCACUAACAGGAGGCUAUGGAUACCCAUGGAACAAGGUUUUCUAGAGCAGAACAUAUGAUAUUUUAUUCUUGCAAUGAGGCUUCCAGUUUCUGUAGCUCCUUGAGAUCAUAAAGAAGUAGAUUUCUGUCUCCCUACCUUAAAUUAAUAAUUAAUUAUAAAGCCUUGACUUCUGCAAGCCUAUGGCUUUAAAGAAAUAUGAACAAGAUGGAGAGGCUGUAAUGGAUGGAACUCUCUUCUGAGGAUCUUCCAACAUGUCACAUGCAAAUGAACUCGAACUCUGCUGAGAAACAAAGAAGUAAAGAAUGAUUGAUAUUAUGCUUCAAAACAACAGGCAGUUGAAAGUUUCAAGCCCAAUGGUGCAUGCACAGAGCCUACAUUAUGAUUGGAAUGAGAAGCGACCAUGAAGCAUCUCGCUUCGGAGCUGGUGAUGCAUAUAUAACCACAACCAGGACUACUCCUCAGAGCAACUGGAUCAACUCUCUACAAUGGCGAAUGUGGGCAAUGACUCGAAUGCAGAGUCUCUUCUUGGAGAGGGAAGGUCACCCAAUUGCCACAAGCAUCAGUUAAACAAGUGGGGCUUGAUGGGAUCAUCAAUCAUACAACGGGUGUUCAGCAUUGUCCCCAGCAUACCUUCAUCAGCAAGGAAGAAGAAGAAAAAGUCUUUCUGCAGACUCAUCUCAUGCUGAUGUUUACAGUUGGUUUAUUGGAUAAUUGGUGAUCAAAUUCCUCAUUGGAGGAUCAACUUGAAUUCUUAUUCGUGUUGAGAGGUCCUUCUUGUAGCUCACCUGUUUUGUGUCGUCUUUUGUGGUCAGUUUGCUAUCUCAGCUGUGUUCUACAGAACCAGAUCAGUUCAGUUCCAUAUAACAAUUUCCAAGAAAAAUAAUCGGCAUUUGAUCUAGUAAAUUCAGAUA